rnacentral:rRNA from 1 species
UGAGGAAUAUUGGGUCAAUGGACGCAAGUCUGAACCAGCCAAGUCGCGUGCAGGAAUAAGGCCCUAUGGGUCGCAGACUGCUUUUGCAUGAGAAUAAAAGUGGGACGAGUCCCACCCUGUAGGUAUCAUGCGAAUAAGGAUCGGCUAACUCCGUGCCAGCAGCCGCGGUAAUACGGAGGAUCCGAGCGUUAUCCGGAUUCAUUGGGUUUAAAGGGAGCGUAGGCCGGCUUUUAAGCGUGUUGUGAAAUGCCGCGGCUCAACCGUGGCACUGCAGCGCGAACUGGAGGCCUUGAGUGCGCGGGAGGUAGGCGGAAUUCGUGGUGUAGCGGUGAAAUGCUUAGAUAUCACGAAGAACUCCGAUUGCGAAGGCAGCUUACCGUAGCGUUACUGACGCUGAAGCUCGAAAGUGCGGGUAUCGAACAGGAUUAGAUACCCUGGUAGU